UAUUUAUAUAGUUUAACAAAAACAUUACAUUUUCACUGUAAAAAUAAACUAUCUUUUAUAAAU
rnacentral:tRNA from 1 species